UUCAGCCCGGAUAGUUAAUAAAACACUUAGGUCGUGACCCUAACAACUAGAGCUUCUCUUCCGGGCU
rnacentral:tRNA from 1 species